GUCUUUUUGAAAUAAUUUAAAGUCUAAUCUGCCCACUGAUAAAAAUUAAAGGGCUGCAGUAUAAUGACUGUACAAAGGUAGCAUAAUCAAUAGUUUUUUAAUUGAAAACUUGUAUGAAAGAUUUGAUGAAAUAUGGACUGUCUCUAAUUUAUAGAUUGAAUUUUAUUUUUUAGUAAAAAAGCUAAAAUAAAUUUAAAAGACGAGAAGACCCUAUAGAGUUUUAUAUUUAAUUUUAUUUAAAAAUUAUAUAAAAAUUAAUAUUAAAAAUAAAAUUAAAUAUUAUAUUGGGGUGAUAGAAAAAUUAAAUUAACUUUUUUUAAAAAUUAAACAUAAAUAAAUGAUUAUAUGAUCCAUAAAUAAUGAUUAUAAGAAAAAAUUACCUUAGGGAUAACAGCGUAAUAUUUUUUUUUAGUUCAAAUAAAAAAAAAAGUUUGCGACCUCGAUGUUGGAUUAAGAUAAAAUUUAAAUGCAAAAGUUUAAAAAUUUUGAUCUGUUCGAUCAUUAAAAUCUUACA
rnacentral:rRNA from 1 species